rnacentral:rRNA from 1 species
GACGAACGCUGGCGGCGUGCCUAAUACAUGCAAGUAGAACGCACAGUUUAUACCGUAGCUUGCUACACCAUAGACUGUGAGUUGCGAACGGGUGAGUAACGCGUAGGUAACCUGCCUGGUAGCGGGGGAUAACUAUUGGAAACGAUAGCUAAUACCGCAUAAUAUUAAUUAUUGCAUGAUAAUUGAUUGAAAGAUGCAACUGCAUCACUACCAGAUGGACCUGCGUUGAAUUAGCUAGUAGGUGAGGUAACGGCUCACCUAGGCGACGAUACAUAGCCGACCUGAGAGGGUGAGCGGCCACACUGGGACUGGGACACGGCCCCGGCUCCUACGGGAGGCAGCAGUAGGGGAGCUUCGGCAAUGGACGAAAGUCUGACCGAGCAACGCCGCGUGAGUGAAGAAGGUUUUCGGAUCGUAAAGCUCUGUUGUAAGAGAAGAACGGGUGUGAGAGUGGAAAGUUCACACUGUGACGGUAUCUUACCAGAAAGGGACGGCUAACUACGUG